AAAUAAAUUUAUUAAAAAAAAAUUAGUUAUAUAUGAUAACUGAUGAAUAUGGUUAUAAUUUUUAUGACUUUUUGUCAGAAGUAUUACUGGCUUUUAAUCUUUGUUUUCUAGGUAUAAGGAAACCUUAAGCUAAGUAUGACUUACAGCAGCUUGGUAAAUUAGACCUUUGUCAGCAGAACUGAAACAUUUAUCUUUUCUUUCUACUUGAUCCCUCCAGAAAGUGGAAACUUUCAGGUUCCCAGUAGCCUUAUCAGGUGAAUAAGGAAGGUCAACUCCUGGCAGGUGCAAGAAUGUCAAGGUAUUUUGGAGACCUUGAGAAGAGAGGAAUUCACCCAAAUCUAUAGUUAUUGUGGCGGAAUCUAAUGGCAAGCCCUUGGCAUGGCUUUCCUGGCUCAACUUGAGAGGCCUUUUAAAAGUUCAAUCUGAAAUUCCUUAUGAAAAGUUCCAGGAAAAACAAUUUAAAAGAGCCUAUAUAAUCAAUUACACAUUAUGUAAAUAAUCAGGCCAAGUUUAUUUUGCAAACAAAUUAGCCUUAAUUGGGCUAUAUUUGGUAGAAAUGAAGGUGAUUUUAGAGAAAAAAAAAGUUCUAGUGGAUAUUAAGUUCUAACGUUGUCAAUUGUCUUCCAAGUUUGUACUUACUGCCCAGGGCUCACUUCUUUUGUUGGCUCCUUGUUACAUUAUUGUGAAGUUUAAUUGAAUUAUUAAAAGGACAUUGUAAGUUUGUUUCUGGAGCUUAUCACAGGAAUCCUUGGAUGAAGAUCAGAUGCCUCAUGACCUGUAACAAGAUUACAAAUAUAUCAUUUGUAAAUAUAUAUCAUUUAAAGGAUGAUAGAAAAUAUAUCAUUUAAAGGAUUUUCUCCAACCUAUAUAGAAGGACCCUCCAAUGAAAAUAAUGACAACUAGGCGACUUGAUUAACCAGAUAAAUAGUUCUACAUAAGAUCAAUGAUUGUAAUAGUGUAACCCUAGAUAUGGGAAGAAGCAGUAAGAGGGAAACUAUUCCUGUAGUUUCCAGUAAGAGAGAAACUAUAACAGACUAGUAAGACUAUUAUGGGCCUAGUUCAGUAACAGCACAUUGAGUGGCCUAUAUCAGCGAAAUCCUCACCAGACCUAAGAAUGAGCCUUCCUAGCGCCAUGGGACAAAUUGGUCAUGAAAUGCCCCCUAAACCUUGGUCAAAACUAUGACCAAGGGGAGGGUACUGCCAACUGAGGAAUGUUGCCCACCAUCCAGUUCUACAGCCCCUGCAGUCGCUGACCUAUAGUUACCCCUAAAAGGACUUCAGGGCGAAGACCGUGCUCUGGGAAAACUGGCAGAACUGGCCCUCAGGUAGUUAGAGAUUUUCAGGAGAAAACUUUUGUGAACCCGGACUCUUGCAUCUUCCCUUACUUAAUAAAGCACUAAAAUCAUUAAAUGAGAUACCUGUUCCUUGUGACUAGCGGCAACCUUCUCCUGAGACAUGUGCUUGGUUGCACAUACCCUCUUCACGUAACUCCCACAUGCUUCAGAGCAGUUCCUCAGAGCUGGGAGGCUGGCUCCUGGGCUACAGUCCUUGGUAAGUCUCCAAACAAAACUGAAAAGUCACAGCUCUCACAUUGUGCAUUUCAACUACGGUGGAAAUGAGCUGUUCAAGGUCACACAGCUGGUCGGUGGCAGGUCUGGGACGACAACCUUCAGCCCAUCUUUUCACGGCUCCUCCUGCAGCCCCCCGACACUUCGUGUGUUCAGCUGUUCAAUUACUGAUGCAUCCGUUUCUAUCAACAGCCUUUACCAAAGCCCUGUUUAGGGUCAGUUCCCGUCUCGGGUUAGUUCUGGAGCAAGGAUGACACCUCAGGGCUGAGUCCUGUCAGCUCACAGAGCAGAGGGGAGAAUGGGGCCGGAGACACAAAGAGAGGGGGCCUGGGCCUGGCCAUGCCCCACGCCCUUCUUCACGCUUUCCCGAGUAACCUAGGCUGGCCAGGCUGUGCCAUAGGGCCUGGCAUGAGCUGAAAGGUUCAAAAGACAGGGUAUUGGGGUGCCCAGCCCAGUCUGUCCACUUUGGGGGGCCCUGUGGUCUGAACAGGGACUCGCGAGAGGCCCAGUCUCUCCUCUGCAGUUCCCACGCUCCAGUCCAGGCCCAGUGAGGGGGAUCUCAUUCCAGUCUGCAUGCUGGUCUCCAAUGACAUCUUUUCCUCUUAAGGUUGACCUUGAGGUUGCUUCUGAGCUGGAUUCACCUGGCAAGAAGGUCGGGGGUCGAGAGAAUCACAUUGAAUUUGGCCCUGGGCCUGGGCCUGCCCCCCAGAAAGGACGAAACGGACAGGACCUGCCUGGAGCCAGGCCGAGUGCCUAGUGUCCAGAGGGAACAGAGAGCAGCUGGGGAGCUGACUCUGACUUAGGAACGCUGCCUGUGGGCUUUGUUUCCAGCCCUCUCAGAGUCACAGGGAAGCUGGCACCAGAGGGAGAGCCUUGGCCUCUUGUUUGUCUCCAGCCCGAGCCAGCGGUGUGGAAAGAGGUCGGAGGGCCCGGCUCGGGGGUGGGGGGUGGGGGGGGUAGGCAGCAGGCCAGCCGCCCCCCAGGCUUCUCCUCCGUCCUGGCCCACGUGCGCCCUCGUGCACACGUGCCUCUCGGUGGGGAGGGGAGGGGUUACCAUGGGACAGGCCAGGCAGAUCACGUUCAAGGCCCUGCCACUGCUGUCAUGGGGAGAAUUAUGGCCGUCGUGACGGGGAGGAGGUGGUAUGGGGAGACUGCUGGAUCGGGGCACAGGCUUCUGCUGAUGUCAGAGCCUGCCACUGACUCUGGGAUGGGUGUGGGGUGCUGGUGACCUCCUCCUGGGCCAAGGUUCUCUUCCUCAGCCUUUGCAGGCUGAGCGCCUUGUUAACUCUCACGGUCCCUCUGAGCAGGAAGGUAGGCAGAGAGGUCUGGGAAUUCCCUCUGGUUCUGGAAGUCCUCUGUGUCUGGCUUUGCUUUUGGAUGAGGGCAGAGCCCCCAAGGGUGGAGACCAGAGGGCACCGCAGGCCAGGAGGGAAGAGAUGCGGCCCAGGCCGUGCAGAGUGCUGGACAGGAAGACCCAGGGCCGGGGAGGGAGGACCCCACUCAUUCACUCAACAAUCCUUUGAUGAGUGUCCACUGUGUAGCUCUACAGUUACAGGGGAAAACGAACCAUGUGACCCCCUAUGGGGAGCUGUAGGGCAGAUGAGGAGGUUCAGAAGUACAGAGGAGGGAGCACCUGACGACACAGGAGGAGAAAGGGAGUGCUUCUUGGGGGGAAGUCAGAUUAGGAAGGAGUCAGCCAGGUGGGAGAGGGGCUGGGGGCCAGGCGCUCCAGGUAGAGCAUGGAGUGGGUGGUGGGGGGUGGUGGUGGAAAUCUGAGGGGUGCUCAGCUGUGGAAUGUCCGUAGGGCGCGGAGGGAAGUCAAGGCUGGAGAGAGAGGCAGAGGUCAGAGCCAGCUGGGUGGGCAUGGGAAGAUUCCUCCGCAGGUUCCCGGGAAGCAGAGGCCGGGAGUUGAGGAGGGGACCUGGAGCUGGUGUGGCCCGGCCCCGAGGAGGUGAGUACUGGGCAUCGCCAGCGGCCUUUGACCUUGGGCGUGUGGGGAAGCUGUGGACUGGAGGGCAGAAAGCACAGAGGUCAAGUUCAGACAGACUUCCCAUCCCACUCCCACCACUUACUUUAUGGUUGGGAGCCCCUCACUUCAGUCUGAACUUCCUCAUCUAUAAAAUAGAGUAUGUUUUCUUUUUCAUUUUCUUUUUCUUUGUGUAAUCCUCUCAGGGUGGUUAUAAGGCUUGAAUCAGGUAACAAUACAUCAAGAGCCCCCAGGACCAAGCCCCGACUUCUCAGCCAGUGUCUGGGCCCUCGCGUCUCCCCCUAGCCACCCUUCUCAUCUUGCCCAGCUCAGCGCGCUCCCGAGAUGCCCUCAACGUUCAGGGCAGCUCACAGCGUUACUCCCUGAAAGGCUUCCCUUUGGGCACCCCGUCCCCCUACUCUUUAGUUAGAAUUCAAUACCUUUGGGCCCCCCCCCCGACAGACAUUUAUCACAGUAACAAUAAGACUGUUAGGCAUUCCCCACACACACCUUUUUUAAAAGACUGUUUUAAGAGCUGUUUUAGAUUCACAGAGAAACUGAGAGGAAGGAACAGAGAUUUCCCGUAGACCCUCUGCCCCCGCACCUGUAGAUCCCCCCUUUCCGUGUCUGUGAGCUCCAUCCGUAAGGCCCUGUAAACGCCAUGAGGACUUGGAUCCUUUCCAAAUUCUUGAUUCCCCAGCACUUAGCACAGGGCUAGAUAAUUAAUAGAUACUGAAUAAAUGUUUAGUAAAUGAUUGGGAAGCAUGGAGCCUGGCACUUUGUAGAUUAUCAAUAAGUACUGAUUUUCUUCCAGCUCUUCCUUCCUGCUUAUAGAGUAUAUGCUUAUUUAAUACCUAAAGAGUUUUCCCCCAAAGGGGACAUUGUGAGAGGGCAGCAGAAAGUUAAGGCAAGUAUAACUCAUUGGGCUUGAGGUCAUUAUGGAUUACCUCCCUUCACAGAAUAUUUUUUUUAAUACAUUUAUUUUUAUUUACUUAUCUUUGGCUGCAUUGGGUCUUUGUUGCUGUGCGUGGGCUUUCUCUAGUUGCGGCGAGCGGGGGCUACUCUCCGUUGCGGUGCGUGGGCUUCUUAUUGCGGUGGCUUCUCUUGUUGCAGAGCACGGGCUCUAGGCACGCGGGCUUCAGUAGUUGUGGCUCGCGGGCUCUAGAGUGCAGGCCCAGUAGCUGUGGCGCACGGGCUUAGCUGCCCCGCGGCAUGUGGGAUCUUCCCGGACCAGGGCUCGAACCCAUGUUGCCUGCAUUGGCAGGCGGGUUCUUAACCACUGCGCCACCAGGGAACCCUGGAGAACAUUUUAUGUAAUCCAGCACUUAAUUCCUCAAUUUGAGUUGGUUGCCGUUCUGUUAUCACUCUUUUUUUUUUGGCUGUGCUACGUGGCAUGCAGAACUUCCUCAUCCAGGGAUCGAACCCACGUCCCCUGCACUGGAAGCACGGAGUCUUAACCACUGGACCGCCAGGGAAGCCCUGUUAUCAUAUUUGUACAGAGGAGACUAAGUGUAAGCUCAGUGAGGGGAGGGAAGGCAUCCCAUGAGUCUGGGGGGACUCAGCAGAUGAUAACGGCUGGCGUGGAGCGCUCCUGAGCCAGGGCUGGCUCUAAGCUCUUCACACGUGUUCACUCACUCCUUACCACCACCCAAAGAGCUGGUGCUAUUAGAUCCCCAUUUUACAGACAAGGAGCUGAGAGGUGCCGCUGGACCAAGUUCGGAGAGCUCUGAAGUGAAGAAACCGGGACGCACAGCCUGUGCUCUUCACCUUUUUUUUUUUUUUAUUGAAGUACAGUUGAUUUACAGUGUUGUGUUAGUUGCUGCUGUACAGCAAAGUGACUCAGUUAUACAUACAUAUACAUAUAUAUCCUUUUUCAUAUUCUUUUCCAUUAUGUUUAUCACAGGAUAUUGAGUAUAGUUCCCUGUGCUCUACAGUAGGACCUUGUUGUUUAUCCAUUCUCUGUAUAAUAGUUUGCAUCUGCUAAUCCCAAACUCCCACUCCAUCCCUCUCCCACCCGCCUCCCCCUUGGCAACCACAAGUCUGUCCUCUAUGUCUCUGAGUUUGUUUCUGUUGCGUAGAUAAGUUCAUUUGUGUCAUAUUCUAGAUUCCACAUAUAAGUGAUAUAUGGUAUUUAUCUUUGUCUGGCUUACUUCACUUAGUAUGAUAAUCUUUAGGUCCAUCCAUGUAGCUGCAGAUGGCAUUAUUUCAUUCUUUUUUACGCCUGUGUGCUCUUCACGUUUUAAAAUCUCCUGUUUCUCUCUGAAAAGCAGGGCCCAUAUUUGCCUCUCAUGCCUGACAAAUCUCAGGGUGAUGCUCAGCAUGCCCAGCUAUCCCCUUACACUGGUUCCCUUGUCCUCGUCUGCCUGUUUCCAGCAGGAGCCCUGGCAGAGCUGGAGGAGUAGACAGCUAGGGGAGUGUGAACCAGGGUGGACAGCCCCAGAGCUUUGGGACAGACGUUGGCGCACCAAUCAUCUCCAGACUCUUCAUGCCUGGGGGGCUGUGGUCUCCAGUGAGGGCAGUAAGAGAACAUCUCCACGUUCAGUGUAAGGAUCUCUGCUAAUCACUCCACUCCGGGAUGCUCGUUAUCUGGGACAAGUAUGUCCUAAGCAGAGAGAACAGGAAAUUCCGGCCUCGUCCAGAGCCUGCUGCAUCUGCUCUGCCUGCUGGCCUGCACGGUCUGCCGUCUGCACCUCGCUCUGCCUGACCUGCCACCCAUACUCCUGUGAGCAAAACUGAGGCCACUCUCCAGCCAUCACAUCUGUGUCAUACCCCUGGGGCUCAUGCUGAUGUGGCAUCCCUGAGAAGCCCUGCACAAUGGCAGCGUGAGGGCAUCUGGUUCUGCUAAGUAUCCAGGGCCUGUUGGGAGUUUAUCCGAGCAGGGUGGGAGAGCAGAUACUGUGGCUUAAAUUCAGCCGACAACAUGUGACGUAAGGUCAAGGGCCAAGGAAAGGGGAAAAGAACAGCUGGGAGAGAGAGAGGCUGCUGUACCCAGUUAUAUCAGAAUAAAGAUCGCCAGGAAAGGGGCUGCAGUAGAUCUUCCUUGUUUGUUUGUUUUCCUUGAAAGUGGUCUCAUGGGAACCUCUACUGGAAGAAACUAUUAAAGACAAAACAAAGGUAUAGAACUGAGAUUGAUUCUGAAGCCUGAUUAACAGUAGAGGAGUACCCGCAGUGGUCCAGGAAAAAAGCACGAUUUCAGUACCUGCAAAAAGCCUGGACUGGGCAAAGCUGAGGGCAGGCUCUGAGCAGCAGGGAGACAGAACAGGAGGGAAGCAGGGAGUCUCAUUCCAUGCUUCAGCUCUCUUUGCUGCUGCCUGUGUGACAAAGGUCUAAAGGCAAUAUGUUAUUACGCGUAACAACUGAAGCCCAGCUAUGGCUUGGAAAUUCCUGAACUACUGUGGAAAUUCUCUCCUUUGAAUCAUGACUCUUUUGAUUGCAUUUGGAAUUCUGUUUGAAGGAGGUUGAAAAGACGAGUACAGUGAAUCCGAAUCUCUUGAAGGUGCCGGAUAUUCUGAAACAGUGGUGCUCAGAAAAAAGCAGAAUGCUUACAGAAUGCUGUAAUUCUGCUGACUCUCAAAGAACAUCUUCUUGUAGUGAAAGUUAGCCACCUCUUCCACAAGUCUCCCCUUUGUGGGGAAGUUAAUAACAAAUUCCGGCUAUUCAACAGUAAGGUUAGAGAUGAAACACACUAGAUAAAUCAUUAAGUGCGACGGUUCUUCACAAAUUAGCUACCUUGAAACCAACCCAAUGAUGAAUAGCUCAGAAGUCUGCAUUUGGCGCAGUUUUAAAAACACCUGAGCUCAUAAAAUGUGGUAUGUUUAAUACUAUAAAAUAACUCAAACAUAGGAAUUGGCUAUAAAUAUCUUCCCUGCAAAGAAUGUCUUUGCUCAACAGACUAUAAAAUAAGUAUCUGGAAUAGUUUUACAGUUAAAACUGAGAAUCAGGGAGGAAAAGUGACUUGCUUGAGCCCAAGGUGCUAGAGAGAACAGAGUCCAGGUUUCGGAAAGUACAGCCUCUUACGCUUCCUGUGUGAUCAACAUCAUUCCAGAAAAGGGGCAUCACUUGGCUUGGCUGAGAAUAACCUAGAUAUAUCAGUCACUGCAACACGAUUUUAUCUGUGCUUUUUGAUCACAGCAUAGGAGGCUCAAGACUGAAUCCAAAGGACUAGAAAACCUAACGAAAUUAACAAUACUUAGAGAAGUCGUUAUGUGGAUCUCAAGGGAACGCAGCUGGGAUAGCUGUUGGUGAAGCAAACAGCUGCUUCUCAAACAAACACCAGCUUCUCUUAUAAUCAGUAAGUGCAAAACUUCACGGAGAGAGCCCUCCUCAAGCCUGAAAACUUGUUUUUCUUAUCAGAAAAAAACCAUGACAAGGGGAGAAAGGAGGACCCACAGGAUAUCUGGUAUGAAAAUAUUCCUUCAUAAGUAACUAGUAGGUUGGAAUUGUGACAGAAGGGAGAUCCCAGCAUGUGUGUGUAUGGACUGCUUAUACCUUUGAGAGCAGAAAUUUAAUGACUAUUCACUGAAGGCAACUCAAACUUGGGAAAUAAUAACGUUGCAAUUUUGAGAUUCAUAUUUUAUUUACAAGCAAAUGAAGAAUAUUCCCUGUAACCAUUAAUUUGGGGGGAGAAGAGCAAUAUAAAGAAGUAGUUGCUGGCUCCACAGUGACGUGUGAAAGGAGUCCAUGCCACUGUUUCUUUAAAUGAUUUUGUUAUUAAAAAAACCGAAACAAAACGCACAAUUUCUUCAUGUUGCAUAUGUGAAAGAAUUCCAAAUAAAAAUGACUUUUCAAAGCUCUGCAGUCUCUCGUCAAAUGUGUCACUUGGUUUGGUGACAGCCCCUGCUCCCCAAGAGCUACAGCCUCUGAGCAGAAGACUUAAUACUCAUCAAGAGUAUCUGCUCGAGGGAUAGACAGGCCUCGAUCCUUCAGGGCCUGGACUUUCAACUUCUCAGCUUCCAGCUUGGUCUGCUGUUCCACCCUCUGUUCUUCUAGGAUUUCUUCAAUAGACACUUGCUGGAGGGGUGUGUCACUCUCCUUUUCUAAGUCCUACAAAACAAGCAGGUUUGGA